rnacentral:rRNA from 1 species
UACGUAGGGGGCUAGCGUUGUCCGGAAUCAUUGGGCGUAAAGAGCGUGUAGGCGGUCCGGUAAGUCCGCUGUGAAAGUCGGGGGCUCAACCCUCGAAUGCCGGUGGAUACUGUCGGGCUAGAGUGCGGAAGAGGCGAGUGGAAUUCCUGGUGUAACGGUGGAAUGCGCAGAUAUCAGGAGGAACACCAAUAGCGAAGGCAGCUUGCUGGGACGGUACUGACGCUAAGGCGCGAAAGCGUGGGGAGCGAACAGG